rnacentral:piRNA from 1 species
UCCUAAGUAAUUAGGUUGCAUGGCAUCUU